CGUGCUCCUCUUAAUUGUGUUGCAGUUGUUGAGUAAUUGGUUCAAAGUUCACGCGCACACAGGUCCACUAUAUAUCGCCGAAGCAAGAUUCACAAUCUACUGGUUGACUUUUAUUAAUCUACGUUCCGAUAUAAAUACAUAUCGGGAAGUACAUCGAGUCUCAAAAGUAAUUAAAUAUAAAAACAAGAAACCAGUUUCAAGGCCAUUUGUGUUCAUUUAAAUAUGGCACUUAGCAGUCUAGUAAGUAAUUAAUGUCAAUUACGCGUAAUUAAGUGUCAUUAUCAUAGCAAAGUAGAAUAUUAAAAAAAUCAUAGCAAAGUAAAAUAUUGAAUUUGACCUUAAACUUGUAGUUUCUGAUCCUUGUUCUUCCUUGACCUAUUUAACAUUGACACUAUACAUGUCAAUUAAGAAAAAGAAUGAUGUUGAAGCUUUAAUGCUUUUUUGACUACAAUAUUUCCUUUGAUUUUCCAUAAAUUCUUGAAAUAUAUCUAUAUAUAUCGAAGAGAGUUAUUCCGAAUUAUCUUGUAAAUUGCGGAACACAUUAUUCUCACUCAAUAGUAACAGUUACUUGCACAUUCAAUUUUUGUACUUAAAUAUUUUUUUUUAUGCAAUCAGUAGCAACGAAGAAUUGUUACUUUUUGUUUGAACUGAAUUAAAUUUAUUUCUUUAAAUUAUAAUAAAUCGAACAAGACGCGGUACGAAUCUUUCUCGACAGUACCUCAAGAUUUUAUUAUCAAAGAAAGGUCUUAUUUACAAAUUCGCAGCAUUAUAUUCAUUGCUUAACUUAUAUAAUUGAAUUAUCUUGUAAAACCGUACAAACGAGUGUACAAGAACGCAAAUUAUAAUAUUGAUAUGUAUACAAAAUGAUUGUUCUUUCCGUUGCAAAAUGGCAACAAGCAUGCAUCGAUAUACUCCUCGUAUUUCAAUUCGCAAAUUCAACAUUAAAAUACUGUUUGUAUUAAAAAUAUAUGCAAUUCAUAUCAUGAGAGACAUUUUUGUAAACACUAAAUAUUUCUCCACGUAUGUAUUACGAUUCGUCACGUAUUCAUCGCGUACAUAAGACGAUUCAUUCGAACCUUAUAAAAAAUAUACAAAUUCGAUGGGUCGUGAGUAUAAAAGGCACUUGUUGAAACAAAUACAUGUAAACCAUCAUUUGAUUUUGAAUUCCUCUUGAAAUUCUUAUUUAGGCAGUGUUUGCGUUGCACAAGCUGGUGUGUGAAAGAUUUUAAAAGUUCAUUUGGCCGGAGUGUCUGUUAAUUUCGUGCUUCCCAUUUCAACGCCACCGCUGUGGAGCACUAGCUCCUCCCUCGUGUAAAACAUCACGAUUUCCUCGACGUUCGAGAACGAUUUCUCAUUUACUUUCGCUGAUCCUAAUGCAUACCUAUUUGAAAAAUAUACAACACUUCAUUUUGUUCGAUUUCUUAUGAAUAGUUUAAACAAGUCCAGUGCUUAAGAAAGAUAUACGGACAUGGGAACGUUAGUGUGCAAAGUUUUCUUACCUAUUGUCAGGCCUUUUUCUGACUGGAACAUUAUACACUCUAUCCUUGUACCAGAGCACCAGAGCCAAGGGAUUGUUCACAUUUGUUGUAGACGGUCUCAAAAGGAAGUGUCCGUCUUGAGGGUUGCCAUUUAACGAAGCGAUAAAGCCAUUCAUUCGGAAAAUCCUCCAAUUAUUCGGAGCAGAGGUGCUCUGAGAAAUCAUGGAUCACGCCUGGAUGCGUAUGGGUAAUUGCUCAGCUCAUCACGAUUCGAAGGCGUGUCUCGCAAAGAUACUCCAUAGAGAAGAACCGUUAGACCGUGACAGAGGGUUUCAAGAUUUUACUUGGUCACGGGAACGAGUCCACGCUGUUCCAUCACGUUCAACGGUGAAAUGAGACAUAUCUGAUAUUCCGCUCUCUUACCAUAUCA